GACGAACCGAGCGAACGUUAUUCGGAAUCACUGGGCUUAAAGGGCGCGUAGGCGGACUGUCAAGUCAGGGGUGAAAGCCCGCGGCUCAACCGCGGAAGUGCCUUUGAUACUGGCGGUCUCGAGGGAGGUAGGGGCGUGCGGAACUUCCGGUGGAGCGGUGAAAUGCGUAGAUAUCGGAAGGAACACCGGUGGCGAAAGCGGCGCGCUGGACCUCUUCUGACGCUGAGGCGCGAAAGCCAGGGGAGCGAACGGG
rnacentral:rRNA from 1 species